AGGAGAAUGUGGAGAAAACCUCCUGUGAAUCAGAAUCGCGUACUCCCCAGAUGCCACCCAGUGCGGAGGAGAGUGAUUUAUACCACAGAGAGGUUUGGAGAGGAUGUCCCAUCCAGGAACCCUUAACAGACCCACUUCACUCUAAGUGGUUUAGCAUCAAGAG